AGGUAAUCCUGAUCCCCUUCUGAAGUGAGUUAACUUCUAAAAAAUCAAGACGAAGAGGUUUGCCAUUAAUUUGCGGCAACGAUGAUGCAGAACGAUUUACUAAAUUAAAUAUUGUGUAACCUGAUUAGGCAUGUAGGCAGAAAAAAGGUGAACUGCUUCACCUCUCGAAUCUUAUUUUCUUCACCAAAAUCUUGAGCGUAGGCAGAAAAAAAAGUGAACUGGUUCACCUCUCGAAUCUUAUUUUUCUUCCAUAAGUCCAAUUCUACAUCUGCAUAGCAAAAUAUAAAAUUAUAAGUACCAGCAAAAGAGAGGCUAAUGGAUUUUGGUUCUGUGGAC
rnacentral:rRNA from 1 species